GGGCUCAAGCUAUACUGCAAGUCGAGCGGACAGAAGGGAGCUUGCUCCCGGAUGUUAGCGGCGGACGGGUGAGUAACACGUGGGUAACCUGCCUGUAAGACUGGGAUAACUCCGGGAAACCGGAGCUAAUACCGGAUAGUUCCUUGAACCGCAUGGUUCAAGGAUGAAAGACGGUUUCGGCUGUCACUUACAGAUGGACCCGCGGCGCAUUAGCUAGUUGGUGAGGUAACGGCUCACCAAGGCGACGAUGCGUAGCCGACCUGAGAGGGUGAUCGGCCACACUGGGACUGAGACACGGCCCAGACUCCUACGGGAGGCAGCAGUAGGGAAUCUUCCGCAAUGGACGAAAGUCUGACGGAGCAACGCCGCGUGAGUGAUGAAGGUUUUCGGAUCGUAAAGCUCUGUUGUUAGGGAAGAACAAGUGCAAGAGUAACUGCUUGCACCUUGACGGUACCUAACCAGAAAGCCACGGCUAACUACGUGCCAGCAGCCGCGGUAAUACGUAGGUGGCAAGCGUUGUCCGGAAUUAUUGGGCGUAAAGGGCUCGCAGGCGGUUUCUUAAGUCUGAUGUGAAAGCCCCCGGCUCAACCGGGGAGGGUCAUUGGAAACUGGGAAACUUGAGUGCAGAAGAGGAGAGUGGAAUUCCACGUGUAGCGGUGAAAUGCGUAGAGAUGUGGAGGAACACCAGUGGCGAAGGCGACUCUCUGGUCUGUAACUGACGCUGAGGAGCGAAAGCGUGGGGAGCGAACAGGAUUAGAUACCCUGGUAGUCCACGCCGUAAACGAUGAGUGCUAAGUGUUAAGGGGGUUUCCGCCCCUUAGUGCUGCAGCUAACGCAUUAAGCACUCCGCCUGGGGAGUACGGUCGCAAGACUGAAACUCAAAGGAAUUGACGGGGGCCCGCACAAGCGGUGGAGCAUGUGGUUUAAUUCGAAGCAACGCGAAGAACCUUACCAGGUCUUGACAUCCUCUGACAACCCUAGAGAUAGGGCUUUCCCUUCGGGGACAGAGUGACAGGUGGUGCAUGGUUGUCGUCAGCUCGUGUCGUGAGAUGUUUGGGUUAAGUCCCGCAACGAGCGCAACCCUUGAUCUUAGUUGCCAGCAUUAGUUGGGCACUCUAAGGUGACUGCCGGUGACAAACCGGAGGAAGGGGGGGAUGACGUCAAAUCAUCAUGCCCCUUAUGACCUGGCUACACACGUGCUACAAUGGACAAACAAAGGUCCGAAGGUUUACCAAUCCC
rnacentral:rRNA from 2 species